rnacentral:rRNA from 1 species
CAGCCGCGCGGUAAUACCGGCGGCCCGAGUGGCGGCCACUAUUAUUGGGCUUAAAGCGUCCGUAGCCGGGUUGGUUAGUCUCCCGGGAAAUCUGGCCGCUUAACGGUCAGAAUUCCGGGAGAUACUGCCAGCCUAGGGACCGGGAGAGGCCGAGGGUAUUCCCGGAGUAGGGGUGAAAUCCUAUAAUCCCGGGAGGACCACCUGUGGCGAAGGCGCUCGGCUGGAACGGGUCCGACGGUGAGGGACGAAGGCCAGGGGAGCAAACCGGAUUAGAUACCCGGGUAGUCCUGGCUGUAAACGAUGCGGACUUUGUGUCGGACAAGCUAUGAGCUUGUCCGGUGCCGGAGGGAAACCGUUAAGUCCGCCGCCUGGGGAGUACGGCCGCAAGGCUGAAACUUAAAGGAAUUGGCGGG